rnacentral:lncRNA from 1 species
UUCUGAGGUCGCUCCACUGGCCCUCCAUGCUUCCCAGCUAGGGCCCUUUCUGCUCACACAGGGCCUGCCACAUUCCUGCUCCUGACAGCAGGCUCCUCCAGAUUAUGUCUGCAGAGGUUGAAGUCCAGACUUUCUAGGGAUGACUAUGCAGCCACUGAAUUGUUUUUUUAUAAGCCACCAACACAUUCAAAUGAGCACUGUGUUCUGAGAAGCCCCGAGGCCAGUUGGAAGAUGUACCAGUUCCCUUCAGUGGGCCCCCAGCUGACCUAUCGCACCGUUUUGGCUCCUCUGCUGUCAACCUUGACUUCCAGCCUAGACUUCCUCCUCUGAGAAGGCCAAGGUCCUAGGAACAGAGAUUAGGUGGCUUCUUGGUGAGUGCUAAGGUCCUCUGUGUGGGCCCUUCUGCCUGGGAUAGGAAGCAAGGCUGGCCAUCCUAACUCUGGACCUUUGUAUUGCCUGGUGCAGUGACCUCCUAGGGUGUGGUCCCAGCAAGCCAAUGGUCCCCAGGCUGAGGGAAGAUGUCAUGCACCUUCACAGGAGGUCCAGGCAUCAUCCAUGUAACCCCCACUCCUUCCCGGCCCUCUACCUCUCACCCUCUAUUUGUCCUCCACAGACUGGUCUAUGUGUCCUUUGCUGCAUCGGAAGGACGUGGUCUGCAAACCGUUCAAUGUUGGGCUUUGCCGAGGGGCUUUCUCUUAUCUCCCACUCUCCUUCCUCAGAACAGAAUUCAGCUGGUUUCAAUGUGGGGAUUAACGUAACCCAAGUGAGCAAUCUACUCUUCUGCAUGGAGAAUACUCUCAGACAGGUAAGUUAUAAUUAUCUCUGCUUUCUG